rnacentral:tmRNA from 1 species
GGGGCUGUAAAGGUUUCGACAGGGGUAUGAAAGUUAUGAAUUCGCUAGAGUGAUGACUUAAUCAUCAAACAUUAAAUACAAACGCAAACAGACAGAUGUUAGCAGUAGCCUAAGUUGCUACGCCAAAACACAUUGAGAUAAUGCUGGUAAAUGUUGAGGUUCAAAAACAAGCAUAUUUGGUAUACGGUUCCCUGUAUAUGAAUACCUGUAUUGGUUGAGAUAGUAAAGAACAGGGUGGUGGACAAGAAAUCAGUACAUGAUUCCAAAACAGCGUAAAGAUUCAUAGUGAGUAAUAUUUUUGGACAGGGGUUCGAUUCCCCUCAGCUCCAU